rnacentral:rRNA from 1 species
UACGUAGGGUGCGAGCGUUGUCCGGAAUUAUUGGGCGUAAAGAGCUUGUAGGUGGUUUGUCGCGUCUGCUGUGAAAAUCCGAGGCUCAACCUCGGACUUGCAGUGGGUACGGGCAGACUAGAGUGUGGUAGGGGAGACUGGAAUUCCUGGUGUAGCGGUGGAAUGCGCAGAUAUCAGGAGGAACACCGAUGGCGAAGGCAGCUCGCUGGGACGGUACUGACGCUGAGACGCGAAAGCGUGGGGAGCGAACAGG